CAUCCUUUGCCUGGUCUGCCCUGUGUCUGUACAUAGUCUCCCCCUUCUCUCCCACAGAACAGGCCAGAGGUGGUGAUUUGGAGCUGAUUGAUCACGGAGGAAGAGAGACCUCAUCCAGGCUCAUGGCCUUGAAGUCUGUCUACAGAAUGAACACUUCCAAACUGCAUCUCCUGCCUGACCUUCCCUUGGGCCUCCAGACUUGACUAAGUAAGGAGAGAGGAUGGAAAAGAAGGAGCCACCAGCUAGCCUGUCCUGCUGUCUACAAGGGAGCAGGACUUGGAGCAGAAGUGAGUGUGCCUGAGUCCUGCAGUGCCUUCCAUCAGCAGACCCAAGAACAAGGCAAGGUUUGGGCAUCUCACAUCUUCUUCACCUGUGAGGUGUGAUUUUUUUUUCCUCUUCCUGGUGGAGAGGGUCUUUCCUGAUUGCUCAGCUGGUAAAGAAUCCACCUGCAAUGCAGGAGAUCUGGGUUGGGAAAUUCCCCUGGAGAAGGGAAAGGCUACCCACUCCAGUAUUCUGGCCUAGAGAAUUCCAUGGACUAUAAAGAGUUGGACAUGACUGAGCAACUUUCACUUUCACUUUCCUGGUGAGGACCACAUGGAGCCCUGGGGUUUUUCUCUCAAUUCUUACUUAGCUUGUGUUUCAAGGUGUCACUGACAAUCUGGUUUUAGAAAAGGCAGAGGAACCAAAGAUCAAAUUGCCAACAUCUGCUGGAUCAUUGAAAAAGCAAGAAAGUUCCAGAAAAACAUCUAUUUCUGCUUUAUGGACUUUG